AAAACAUGUCUUUUUGAUAAAAAUUUAAAGUCAGGUCUGCUCACUGAAUUAUUUUAAAGAGCCGCAGUAUAUUGACUGUGCAAAGGUAGCAUAAUCAAUAGUUUUUUAAUUGGAAACUAGAAUGAAAGAUUAGACGAAAAAUUAAUUUUCUUUGUUUUAAUAAAUUUAAUUUUAAAUUUAAGUGAAAAUGCUUAAAUAAAAUUAAAAGACGAGAAGACCCUAUAGAUUUUUAUUAUUGAAAUAAAUUUUUAAAUUUAAUUUAAUAAAAUAAUUUAAUUGGGGCGAUUUUAUAAUAUAAAUAACUUAAUUUUUUUAAACCAUAAAUAAUUGAAUAUUUGAUCUAAAAUUUUUAAAGAAAAGAUUAAAUUACCUUAGGGAUAACAGCGUAAUUUUAUUUAAGAGUUCAUAUCUAUAAUAAAGUUUGCGACCUCGAUGUUGAAUUAAGAUAAUAUAUUGGAGUAGAAAUUAAUAUAAUUAGUCUGUUCGACUAUUAAAUUCUUACGUGAUCUG
rnacentral:rRNA from 1 species